rnacentral:rRNA from 1 species
UGUGAGCUCGAUGAGUAGGGCGGGACACGUGGUAUCCUGUCUGAAUAUGGGGGGACCAUCCUCCAAGGCUAAAUACUCCUGACUGACCGAUAGUGAACCAGUACCGUGAGGGAAAGGCGAAAAGAACCCCGGCGAGGGGAGUGAAAAAGAACCUGAAACCGUGUACGUACAAGCAGUGGGAGCACGCUUAGGCGUGUGACUGCGUACCUUUUGUAUAAUGGGUCAGCGACUUAUAUUCUGUAGCAAGGUUAACCGAAUAGGGGAGCCGAAGGGAAACCGAGUCUUAACUGGGCGUUAAGUUGCAGGGUAUAGACCCGAAACCCGGUGAUCUAGCCAUGGGCAGGUUGAAGGUUGGGUAACACUAACUGGAGGACCGAACCGACUAAUGUUGAAAAAUUAGCGGAUGACUUGUGGCUGGGGGUGAAAGGCCAAUCAAACCGGGAGAUAGCUGGUUCUCCCCGAAAGCUAUUUAGGUAGCGCCUCGUGAAUUCAUCUCCGGGGGUAGAGCACUGUUUCGGCAAGGGGGUCAUCCCGACUUACCAACCCGAUGCAAACUGCGAAUACCGGAGAAUGUUAUCACGGGAGACACACGGCGGGUGCUAACGUCCGUCGUGAAGAGGGAAACAACCCAGACCGCCAGCUAAGGUCCCAAAGUCAUGGUUAAGUGGGAAACGAUGUGGGAAGGCCCAGACAGCCAGGAUGUUGGCUUAGAAGCAGCCAUCAUUUAAAGAAAGCGUAAUAGCUCACUGGUCGAGUCGGCCUGCGCGGAAGAUGUAACGGGGCUAAACCAUGCACCGAAGCUGCGGCAGCGACGCUUAUGCGUUGUUGGGUAGGGGAGCGUUCUGUAAGCCUGCGAAGGUGUGCUGUGAGGCAUGCUGGAGGUAUCAGAAGUGCGAAUGCUGACAUAAGUAACGAUAAAGCGGGUGAAAAGCCCGCUCGCCGGAAGACCAAGGGUUCCUGUCCAACGUUAAUCGGGGCAGGGUGAGUCGACCCCUAAGGCGAGGCCGAAAGGCGUAGUCGAUGGGAAACAGGUUAAUAUUCCUGUACUUGGUGUUACUGCGAAGGGGGGACGGAGAAGGCUAUGUUGGCCGGGCGACGGUUGUCCCGGUUUAAGCGUGUAGGCUGGUUUUCCAGGCAAAUCCGGAAAAUCAAGGCUGAGGCGUGAUGACGAGGCACUACGGUGCUGAAGCAACAAAUGCCCUGCUUCCAGGAAAAGCCUCUAAGCAUCAGGUAACAUCAAAUCGUACCCCAAACCGACACAGGUGGUCAGGUAGAGAAUACCAAGGCGCUUGAGAGAACUCGGGUGAAGGAACUAGGCAAAAUGGUGCCGUAACUUCGGGAGAAGGCACGCUGAUAUGUAGGUGAAGUCCCUUGCGGAUGGAGCUGAAAUCAGUCGAAGAUACCAGCUGGCUGCAACUGUUUAUUAAAAACACAGCACUGUGCAAACACGAAAGUGGACGUAUACGGUGUGACGCCUGCCCGGUGCCGGAAGGUUAAUUGAUGGGGUUAGCGCAAGCGAAGCUCUUGAUCGAAGCCCCGGUAAACGGCGGCCGUAACUAUAACGGUCCUAAGGUAGCGAAAUUCCUUGUCGGGUAAGUUCCGACCUGCACGAAUGGCGUAAUGAUGGCCAGGCUGUCUCCACCCGAGACUCAGUGAAAUUGAACUCGCUGUGAAGAUGCAGUGUACCCGCGGCAAGACGGAAAGACCCCGUGAACCUUUACUAUAGCUUGACACUGAACAUUGAGCCUUGAUGUGUAGGAUAGGUGGGAGGCUUUGAAGUGUGGACGCCAGUCUGCAUGGAGCCGACCUUGAAAUACCACCCUUUAAUGUUUGAUGUUCUAACGUUGACCCGUAAUCCGGGUUGCGGACAGUGUCUGGUGGGUAGUUUGACUGGGGCGGUCUCCUCCUAAAGAGUAACGGAGGAGCACGAAGGUUGGCUAAUCCUGGUCGGACAUCAGGAGGUUAGUGCAAUGGCAUAAGCCAGCUUGACUGCGAGCGUGACGGCGCGAGCAGGUGCGAAAGCAGGUCAUAGUGAUCCGGUGGUUCUGAAUGGAAGGGCCAUCGCUCAACGGAUAAAAGGUACUCCGGGGAUAACAGGCUGAUACCGCCCAAGAGUUCAUAUCGACGGCGGUGUUUGGCACCUCGAUGUCGGCUCAUCACAUCCUGGGGCUGAAGUAGGUCCCAAGGGUAUGGCUGUUCGCCAUUUAAAGUGGUACGCGAGCUGGGUUUAGAACGUCGUGAGACAGUUCGGUCCCUAUCUGCCGUGGGCGCUGGAGAACUGAGGGGGGCUGCUCCUAGUACGAGAGGACCGGAGUGGACGCAUCACUGGUGUUCGGGUUGUCAUGCCAAUGGCACUGCCCGGUAGCUAAAUGCGGAAGAGAUAAGUGCUGAAAGCAUCUAAGCACGAAACUUGCCCCGAGAUGAGUUCUCCCUGACUCCUUGAGAGUCCUGAAGGAACGUUGAAGACGACGACGUUGAUAGGCCGGGUGUGUAAGCGCAGCGAUGCGUUGAGCUAACCGGUACUAAUGAACCGUGAGGCUUAACCUU